UACGUAGGGUGCAAGCGUUGUCCGGAAUUAUUGGGCGUAAAGAGCUCGUAGGCGGUUUGUCGCGUCGGCUGUGAAAACUCGGGGCUCAACCCCGAGCCUGCAGUCGAUACGGGCAGACUAGAGUGCGGUAGGGGAGUGGGGAAUUCCUGGUGUAGCGGUGAAAUGCGCAGAUAUCAGGAGGAACACCGGUGGCGAAGGCGCCACUCUGGGCCGAAACUGACGCUGAGGAGCGAAAGCGUGGGUAGCAAACCGG
rnacentral:rRNA from 1 species